UACGUAGGGGGCUAGCGUUGUCCGGAAUCAUUGGGCGUAAAGAGCGUGUAGGCGGCCCGGUAAGUCCGCUGUAAAAGUCAAAGGCUCAACCUUUGAAUGUCAGUGGAUACUGCCGGGCUAGAGUCCGGAAGAGGCGAGUGGAACUCCUGGUGUAGCGGUGGAAUGCGCAGAUAUCAGGAAGAACACCAACGGCGAAGGCAGCUCGCUGGGACGGUACUGACGCUGAGGUGCGAAAGCGUGGGGAGCAAACAGG
rnacentral:rRNA from 1 species